UACGGGGGGAGCAAGCGUUGUUCGGAUUUACUGGGCGUAAAGGGCGCGUAGGCGGCCACCGCAAGUCGACUGUGAAAUCUCCGGGCUUAACCCGGAAAGGUCAGCCGAUACUGCGGGGCUAGAGUGCAGAAGGGGCAACUGGAAUUCUCGGUGUAGCGGUGAAAUGCGUAGAUAUCGAGAGGAACACCUGCGGCGAAGGCGGCGUCCUGGACCAACACUGACACUGAUGAGCGAAAGCCAGGGGAGCAAACGGG
rnacentral:rRNA from 1 species